rnacentral:piRNA from 1 species
UGUGCAGACCUCUACUAGCACAGGAUAUGC